rnacentral:rRNA from 1 species
UACGAAGGGUGCAGACGUUGCUCGGAAUUAUUGGGCGUAAAGCGCACGUAGGCGGCUUUGCAAGUCGGAUGUGAAAUCCCUCGGCUUAACCAAGGAAGUGCAUCCGAAACUGCAGAGCUUGAGUACUUAAGAGGAUCGCGGAAUUCCCGGUGUAGAGGUGAAAUUCGUAGAUAUCGGGAGGAACACCAGUGGCGAAGGCGGCUCACUGGCCCGUUACCGACGCUCAGGCGCGACAGCGUGGGGAGCAAACAGG